rnacentral:rRNA from 1 species
UACAGAGGUGGCUAGCGUUGUUCGGAAUUACUGGGCGUAAAGGGCGCGUAGGCGGCUUGGUCAGUCCCGUGUGAAAUCCCUCGGCUCAACUGAGGAACUGCACGGGAAACUGCCUGGCUUGAGUUCGGGAGAGGGAAGCGGAAUUCCGGGUGUAGCGGUGAAAUGCGUAGAUAUCCGGAGGAACACCGGUGGCGAAGGCGGCUUCCUGGACCGACACUGACGCUGGAGGCGACGAAAGCUAGGGGAGCAAACGGG